GGCCGGUAGAAGGGGCUGGGCUCCUCGCGGGCUGCAAACCCGCCGGGCAUCCCGAACGGGUUGCCGCUCGGUUCGAUUCCGAGACCGGUCUCCA
rnacentral:tRNA from 1 species